rnacentral:rRNA from 1 species
GCAACAGCCUAGCCCAACUAACUAACUAACUAACAACAAAACAAAAUUAUCCCACCAAAAUAAAUUAAAACAUUCUUCACUAUCCUAGUAUAGGAGAUAGAAAAGAUAAUUGGAGCAAUAAAGAUAGUACCGUAAGGGAAAGAUGAAAAACAAUGAAACACUCAUAAGCCCUAAAAAGCAAAGCUUAACUCUUAUACCUUUUGCAUCAUGAUUUAGCAAGCACCCUCAAGCAAAGAGAUCUGAAGUCUGAAACCCCGAAACCAAGUGAGCUACUUAAAGGCAACCCCAUUAGGCAAAAUCCGUCUCUGUGGCAAAAGAGUGGAAAGACCUUUAAGUAGAGGUGAAAAGCCUAACGAACUUGGUGGUAGCUGGUUGCUCAAUAAAAGAAUAUAAGUUCAACCUUAAACCUUCUACAAAACACCACAAAGUAAAAAGAAAAGUUUAAGACAUAUUCAAUCGGGGUACAGCCCGAUUGAAGAAGGACACAACCUAACAUGGAGGAUAAAACACCAAAACACAUUACCGUAGGCCUUAAAGCAGCCAUCACCAAAGAAAGCGUCAAAGCUCCACUAGCCACAAAUAACAACAUAAUUUUUUUCCCCAAACAACACUGAGCUAUUCUACCCUAAUAGAAGAACUAAUGCUAAAAUGAGUAACAAGAAGAACAAAACUUCUCUAACGCGCUAGCUUAAAUCAUAAUAGACAAACUACUGAUUAUUAACAACCACAUUAUAAAACCAAUAACACUUAAAACAUCCUAUAAACCAAACUGUUAACCCAACACAGGAGCGCAUAUAAGAAAGAUUAAAACUUGUAAAAGGAACUAGGCAAACAAAACGAGCCCGACUGUUUACCAAAAACAUAGCCCCUAGCAAAAUACAAGUAUUAGGGGUAAUGCCUGCCCAGUGACACUGUUAAACGGCCGCGGUAUCCUAACCGUGCAAAGGUAGCGUAAUAACUUGUCUUUUAAAUAAAGACUAGAAUGAAUGGCCAAACGAGGCUCCACCUGUCUCUUACAAAUAAUCAGUGAAAUUGAUCUUCCCGUGCAAAAGCAGGAAUAAUAUUAUAAGACGAGAAGACCCUGUGGAACUUCAAAUAUAAAAUCAACUAUCACUAACACCCACCUUAAUAGGCAUAUACCAAAUAGCAUUUGAUUUUUACUUUCGGUUGGGGCGACCUCGGAGCAAAACAAAACCUCCGAAAAAAGAACUAUUCAUAAACCUAGAGCCACAAUUCAAAGUGCUCCCAGCAAAGCGAUCCAAUACAUUUGAUCAACGAACCAAGCUACCCCAGGGAUAACAGCGCAAUCCCAUCCUAGAGUCCCUAUCAACGAUGGGGUUUACGACCUCGAUGUUGGAUCAGGACAUCCUGAUGGUGCAACCGCUAUCAAGGGUUCGUUUGUUCAACGAUUAAUAGUCCUACGUGAUCUGAGUUCAGACCGGAGCAAUCCAGGUCGGUUUCUAUCUAUAAACUUGAGUCUUUUCCAGUACGAAAGGACCGAAAAGACAAGGCCAAUAUCAAAAACAAGCCUUACCAUUACAUUAGUGAAAACAACUUAACUAAUAAUAAACCAAAAAUCCUAAGCCCAAAAGGGGGGCUU